rnacentral:misc_RNA from 1 species
AACCAUUCUCACCUGCGGCUAGACCUGCGGAAGGAUCAUUACAGAGUUGCAAAACUCCCUAAACCAUUGUGAGCGUUACCUAAACCGUUGCUUCGGCGGGCGGCCCGGGUCCUUCCCGGCGCCCAUCGGCCCUCGCGGGCGCCCGCCGGAGGUAAACCAAACUAUUGCAUUGUAUGGCCUCUCUGAGUCUUCUGUACUGAAUAAGUCAAAACUUUCAACAACGGAUCUCAGAUCGGAAGA